UUUAAAACUCUAAAAACUCGGCAAAGAGGAAAACCCAAACCCUAUUUCCAUUUCCCCCUAAUCCCAUACCCCCAUCGCCUGUCUCCUCUCUCUCUCUCUCUCUCUCUCUCUCUCUCUAACCUCUCACCUCCGGCCGCAAAUUCCACCACUAUCUUCAUCGGCGGUGCCGAAAUCACUCAUCCAAACCUCUUCAUCAGCCACCACAUCAUCACCUUCCCUCGCGUUGACGAAAUCACUCAUCCAAAGCUCUUCGACGCCAGAAUCCGACUCCGAUUGAGCGGCUACAGCUUCCUCGCUCUCGAGUCUCUGCCGCCGUCGACAGUGCUUCCGACGCUUGAAUCCGGCGAAACUCUCACCUUCACAACUCCAGACGUUGCUCGCGGCUUCACUCUCUCGCUCUCACAGUCGCUCCACCAGAGCAAGUCACUCGUUAGUGACGUUACGUCGUCAUUGUCACGCUGGGCAACCGCUUGCUCUUCCUCUCAUUCCAUUCAAGGCCUGCAAGUAGUGGACUCCCAAAGCGUCUUGAAGAGUCAAUUUCUGAUAGUUAAUGAUAUGCUUCCGAGUUCCGGCAACCUCCUUUGGCAUAGUUCUUUCUGACAGAAGUAGUUAUAAAUUCCCUACACACAUCAGUUUGUAUAAAUUCGAUCACGAAUGAUGGAACAUAGAAGAGAAUAUCUGUACAUGUUUAUAUCAGUGUACACUGCACGUAUCUGGUUUUGCCGAUAAUAUCUAUCGGCACGUAUUCGAUCACGAACUUGCAGUGUUACUGCUUUUUACUCAUGAUAGAUUUUCUUGAAAGAACUGUAUUGCACAACCCUUUAAUGUUAAGGAAACUAUAGCUAAAUUUGCUACACCAUGUCUCAUGAUAAUACCAUCAGCAAGAGUCCCUGUGACGAUCCAGGUCUUUCCCUCAAUUUGUACAUAUUCUUCGGAAGACAUUGAUGAAAUGCAAGAUUUGUGGAUUAAAUAUGUUCUUGAUUGAAGAAGAUUCGUGAUAGAUGAGCUUAAUGAUGAAUGAGCUGAGCUUGAGUAAGAGAUUAACUUAGUGUUAAUCAUUAUACUUGUGAAUUUAGCUCCACUUUUGAUUUUUUUUUUUUUUUGUAGGAAAAGCUCUACUUUUGAGUUUUGUUUUUGAAUAUUAUAAUUAAUGUAAAUUUUGGGUUAAAUUCUGUUGGAGAAAAUUAGUUUUUGUAUAAAAGCUUUUAUAUUUAUAUAUAUUAUAUGGAAAAUUUAUGUA